GCCGGGGUGGCGGAAACGCAGACGCGCCGGACUCAAAAUCCGGUGGGGUUGCCCCCGUGAGGGUUCAAAUCCCUCCCCCGGCACCC
rnacentral:tRNA from 1 species